rnacentral:rRNA from 1 species
UACGUAGGGUGCAAGCGUUGUCCGGAAUUAUUGGGCGUAAAGAGCUCGUAGGCGGUUCGUCGCGUCGGCUGUGAAAACCUGAGGCUCAACCUCAGGCCUGCAGUCGAUACGGGCGGACUCGAGUUCGGCAGGGGAGACUGGAAUUCCUGGUGUAGCGGUGAAAUGCGCAGAUAUCAGGAGGAACACCGGUGGCGAAGGCGGGUCUCUGGGCCGAUACUGACGCUGAGGAGCGAAAGCGUGGGGAGCGAACAGG